UCCUGAGCAAUUGGGAAUCUGAAGGCAAAAUGUGGAUUUGACGUACAGGAAGUAGAUAUUAGGCCUAAGCCUGGGGGUAAGCUUGCAUUGGAAGAUGACGCCCAAAAUCCAUCCGUAACCGAGCAAGGGUAAAUCUGACGAAUCCACAGGAAAGAAG
rfam:Microscilla sp. PRE1 plasmid pSD15, complete sequence.